UGUCCAGGGCUACACACGUGCUACAAUGGCCGGUCAAAGGGGCGGCAAGACCGCGAGGUGGAGCAAAUCCCAAAAAACCGGUCUCAGUUCGGAUUGGAGUCUGCAACUCGACUCCAUGAAGUUGGAGUUGCUAGUAAACGCAGGUCAGCCAUACUGCGUUGAAUACGUUCCCGGGGCUU
rnacentral:rRNA from 1 species